UAAAAAUUAGCGUUAAUGCACCAUAUCCCAUUAGAACUCUGUAGUUGAGUGCACUCAGGAUAGAGUAGUAUUGGGAUGGGUGACCACCCAGGAAGUCCUAGUAUUUUAC
rnacentral:rRNA from 1 species